UACGUAGGGGGCUAGCGUUGUCCGGAUUUAUUGGGCGUAGAGAGCGUGUAGGCGGCCAGGUAGGUCCGGUGUGAAAACUCGAGGCUUAACCUCGAGAUGUCAUCGGAAACCAUCUGGCUAGAGUCCGGAAGAGGAGAGUGGAAUUCCUGGUGUAGCGGUGAAAUGCGCAGAUAUCAGGAAGAACACCAAUGGCGAAAGCAGCUCUCUGGGACGGUACUGACGCUGAGACGCGAAAGCGUGGGGAGCGAACAGG
rnacentral:rRNA from 1 species